GAUGAACGCUGGCGGCGUGCCUAAUACAUGCAAGUCGAGCGAACAGACGAGGAGCUUGCUCCUCUGACGUUAGCGGCGGAUGGGUGAGUAACACGUGGAUAACCUACCUAUAAGACUGGGAUAACUUCGGGAAACCGGAGCUAAUACCGGAUAAUAUAUUGAACCGCAUGGUUCAAUAGUGAAAGACGGUUUUGCUGUCACUUAUAGAUGGAUCCGCGCCGCAUUAGCUAGUUGGUAAGGUAACGGCUUACCAAGGCAACGAUGCGUAGCCGACCUGAGAGGGUGAUCGGCCACACUGGAACUGAGACACGGUCCAGACUCCUACGGGAGGCAGCAGUAGGGAAUCUUCCGCAAAGGGCGAAAGCCUGACGGAGCAACGCCGCGUGAGUGAUGAAGGUCUUCGGAUCGUAAAACUCUGUUAUUAGGGAAGAACAAAUGUGUAAGUAACUAUGCACGUCUUGACGGUACCUAAUCAGAAAGCCACGGCUAACUACGUG
rnacentral:rRNA from 1 species